rnacentral:rRNA from 1 species
GACGUAGGGCGCAAGCGUUGUCCGGAUUUAUUGGGCGUAAAGAGCUCGUAGGCGGCUUGUUGCGUCUCCGUGAAAACCCGCAGCUCAACUGCGGGCUUGCGGACGAUACGGGCAGGCUAGAGUUCGGUAGGGGAGACUGGAAUUCCUAGUGUAGCGGUGAAAUGCGCAGAUAUCAGGAGGAACACCGAUGGCGAAGGCAGGUCUCUGGGCAUUAACUGACGCUGAGGAGCGAAAGCAUGGGGGAGCGAAUAGG